rnacentral:pre_miRNA from 1 species
UAGCUUUGUCCUAAGUUAAAUUACUAUAACUUUGACAAAGUUUUACAAAAAUAUAUAAAUAUUUAAAGUACCAAAAUAAUUGCACUAUCAAAACAUAUCUCAUGGUGGAUUUAAUGAAACUAAUUGAAUGUUGUAAAUGUUGGUGCUUUUUUCUAUGAACUUGGUCAAAGUUAGAGAAGUUUGACUUAGGACAAAUAUAA